UCUUCCUGACGCAACCGCAUGUCACAGAGAAGACGUCGCCGCCGCCGCGACCGGGAUCAACGUCUCUCGCUGCCGCGGUCUCGUGCGAUCUCCCAACCGCCGACGUACGGGAUCGCCGCCACCGACCUCCGGGAUCAGCGUCUCUCGCUGUCGCGAUCUCCCUGCCGCCAGCAUACGGGAUCGCCGCCGCCGCCGUACCAGAGGAAACACUGUCGAUGAUGUCCGGGAUCGACGCCCCCGCGCUUCCACAGAUAUGCGUUCAAGAGGUUGGAGAAGCGCAGGGAGAAAGGGGACCGUGGACCAAGUUGGCAGCAGCUCAAACACAGUUUCAGACAAGGAGAAUGAGAAUGAGACAAACAUUCAGACGAGGAGAAUGAGACAAACACUCUAUAGAUGAGUUCUUAUUAUUCACUAUCUUCACUUGCAAUUUCUGAAUGUUUGUCUCAUUCACUAUCUUCACUAUAUUUCAUUGCACUACUGAAGUCUAAUUAGUCAAGACAUUUGAAUCCAUUAACAAUAAUUCUAAUUAUUCACUAUCUUCACUUGCAAUUUCUGCAGAUGAAGCGACAAAUCGACCAAUUUGGUCACAUAUCACCUUGCCUUUCCAGCCUCUUUCACUUCCUUUCAACCAUCUUGUGUUUCAGGAAAUGAGAGAGCAAGGAUUCACAGAAAGUCGUCUCCACUUGCUCUCUCAUAUCACAGGUGCUUUUUGGCCUGGUGUUUUGUCAUGGGAGCCACAUGUGUUCAUCUAAUACAACUUCCAUGCGAAUCUCUUUCCCUAUUCUGUUUUUGGUUUGGACCGAAACAACUUAUCGUUAUUGCUGGUUCUAGGAUGCGGGUUGGGAUAUCUCCAGAUUAAUAUCAAGGAUUUUAGGAUAUUGUUAAAUUCCAGUUAAGAGCUCGUUGUAAAUGUUGUCCUAUCGGUACCAGAUUAGAUUCGUGAAGUAAAAUUCAAAAUGCUUGUAAUUUAGUCGCAAGAAUGGCGAAUGAAGUUUACUUAUGAUGUGAGUUAGGUACCAAAAAUUGUGGACUAAGGAACCAGAUGUGAGUUGUAUCACCAUUGGCAUUUUACUGUAUAGGCUAUUAUAGACAUGGCUCUACAUGCGUUGAGAAGUGUGAGCACGUCAAGAUAUUCUCCAUCUAGGAAUCCUCGUAUAUAUUCACACAUACGUUAUUCUUUAAAUCUGCUUGGGGGUCAAACUCAGGUGAACGGACACAUGUGCAUGAUUAUUAGUAUCCAAAGUGCCUUUAGAAGCUGUUUACUUCUGAUGACAUUGCAUAAUGAGAGGUGUGACAGGAGUAUUUGUUGUAUUUUACCUGACUGGUAUUACUGCAACUAUUAAUUAUCCAUGUUAGUUCUCUUCAAAUAGCAAUUAGGGUAUGACUGGCUUUACUGAUGCUCUCAUUCCAAGGAAAAAUGUGAAUAUUUGAUUUCAUUGGCAAAGCCUCACAUGAAGAAGUCAACGCCCCGACGCUGGUUGAUUCUGCAACUGGAUGCAGUAAAGAUAGCAGGGUGCGAAUGAGUUCACGAGUAAAUAUGAGGGUUGGAAGUUGUACACCCAAAUAUGUGAUCGUGGACACUAACUGAGGACAAAAAUGUGAUGGCGUCAUUAACAGUUCAAUGGGAAUUUGGAGAAGGGUGCAUUAUCUCUGUGCUGAUUGGUGUAGAGCAUGUAGGAUGUGCUUGGUGAGCUUGAAUGCGACCAAACCGUGUUGGAUUCGACAUCAAACAUUUAUAUCUUACUAUGUAGGAGUACUUUGUUAUGGUUUCGUUGCAAUGCUUGUGGCCAGUAAGAUGUUUUCUUAUAACACAGGUCUGGGGCUGGCAGAUUGUUGGGUGAGAUGUUUGUGGACUUUGUACAAGAAAUAAGAGAGAGAAGUAAGAUUAAACUGCAACUCUGAUGGCGUUGGCCAGCUGCGA